GGGGCCGUAGCUCAGCAGGAAGAGCGCCGCUGUGGCAUGGCGGAGGUCGCCGGUUCGAGUCCGGUCGGUUCCAC
rnacentral:tRNA from 1 species